CCCUUAGAUGAUCUGGGCCGCACGCGCGCUACACUGAUGCAUUCAACGAGCCUAUCCUUGACCGACAGGUCCGGGUAAUCUUUGAAUCUGCAUCGUGACGGGGAUAGAUUAUUGCAAUUAUUAAUCUUCAACGAGGAAUGCCUAGUAGGCGCAAGUCAUCAGCUUGCGUCGAUUACGUCCCUGCCCUUUGUACACACCGCCCGUCGCUCCUACCGAUUGGGUGUGCUGGUGAAAUGUUCGGAUCGGCCGUUUGUCGCGGUUUCCGCGUCAUGUGGCUGAGAAGUUCAUUAAACCCUCCCACCUAGAGGAAGGAGAAGUCGUAACA
rnacentral:rRNA from 1 species